rnacentral:pre_miRNA from 1 species
GGCUACAACACAGAACAUGGGCGCUUUCUUGGACCCUCGUGUCUUGUGUUGCAGCCAG